rnacentral:rRNA from 1 species
GAUGAACGCUGGCGGCGUGCCUAAUACAUGCGAGUCGAGCGAACAGACGAGGAGCUUGCUCCUCUGACGUUAGCGGCGGACGGGUGAGUAACACGUGGAUAACCUACCUAUAAGACUGGGAUAACUUCGGGAAACCGGAGCUAAUACCGGAUAAUAUAUUGAACCGCAUGGUUCAAUAGAGAAAGACGGUUUUGCUGUCACUUAUAGAUGGAUCCUCGCCGCAUUAGCUAGUUGGUAAGGUAACGGCUUACCAAGGCAACGAUGCGUAGCCGACCUGAGAGGGUGAUCGGCCACACUGGAACUGAGACACGGUCCAGACUCCUACGGGAGGCAGCAGUGGGGAAUCUUCCGCAAUGGGCGAAAGCCUGACGGAGCAACGCCGCGUGAGUGAUGAAGGUCUUCGGAUCGUAAAACUCUGUUAUUAGGGAAGAACAAAUGUGUAAGUAACUAUGCACGUCUUGACGGUACCUAAUCAGAAAGCCACGGCUAACUACGUG